rnacentral:rRNA from 1 species
AUUGAACGCUGGCGGCAUGCCUUACACAUGCAAGUCGAACGGCAGCACGGGAGCAAUCCUGGUGGCGAGUGGCGAACGGGUGAGUAAUAUAUCGGAACGUGCCCAGUAGUGGGGGAUAACUGCUCGAAAGAGCAGCUAAUACCGCAUACGACCUGAGGGUGAAAGGGGGGGAUCGCAAGACCUCUCGCUAUUGGAGCGGCCGAUAUCAGAUUAGCUAGUUGGUGGGGUAAAGGCCUACCAAGGCAACGAUCUGUAGUUGGUCUGAGAGGACGGCCAGCCACACUGGGACUGAGACACGGCCCAGACCCCUACGGGAGGCAGCAGUGGGGAAUUUUGGACAAUGGGCGCAAGCCUGAUCCAGCAAUGCCGCGUGCAGGAAGAAGGCCUUCGGGUUGUAAACUGCUUUUGUCAGGGAAGAAAUCCUCUAGGUUAAUACCCUUGGGGGGAUGACGGUACCUGAAGAAUAAGCACCGGCUAACUACGUGCCAGCCGCCGCCGUAACAC